UACUGCUUUUGGAGGAGAGAGCUCUUCAGCAAGCCCUACUGCUGGAAACGCUUCCAUAGCUUCUGUAUUUAACUCACCUUCGACUUCAAGAACUAACAGACCGAAACAGCGUAGGAUUUUAUCUAAAGAUAUCAUUAUGUCCAUGGAGCAAUGUCGUGAAACCAGACACUCACAAAUACUUUAUAAAUCACUCUUAUAAUUAAUGCCUGCAUUGUUUGUUUAAUUAAUAUUUAAUUUCAUUGGAUCUUGAUGGAUUGAUGGUCCCUGAUUAAUGGGAGGGUCUCACAUACCACCAAACAGUAAUAAUAUCACUGAUGUGCACAACACAGUCUCAGUUCAAUUAUUUUAUUUCUAUUUUGUUUUCUUUUGCUUCAAAACUUUUCUUGUAAUAGCUA